rnacentral:lncRNA from 1 species
CUAGGUUUUAAUCACACAAGCUUAAAAUGAAAAUUUCAUAUUUAAUGAUUGAUGUGAUCAUAUUGAAGAACUAUAUGGAACCACCAUAUUUAGUUAACAAUAUUUAUCAUGUCUCAACCCUCUUGUGAUGACAUAAUAGAAAUAGAGUUUGGGCGUCAUCUUGAAACACCAUCAUCAGAAUUACUGACGUUACUAAAUACUGUCUUUACCUGAUUAAGUUAUUUCAGGUAAAAUCUAGCCUGUGACAAAAUAGAAAUAGUGACCUGACACUUGGAGCACAAGUCGGCUUCUGCACCCACGGGUUCCUCCCUGCCAAGUCCCUGAGUUUGUGUGAGACCUUGAGAGAAGACAGUAUGGCUACCAUAUUCUACAGCUAGGUGAGAAGCAUACUGAAAGGCAGACUGCCAUGUUUGUCCAGUUACAUUUGCCAAUUGUCUGUAGCUGCCUUAGAUAUGAGAUGCACAGGAUUUCCUUGGAACAUAGGUUUUCAAAGAACAAAAUAAUUUCACACAGAACUCAAGCUGUGAAGCUACUGAAUCAAUGCAAAUGGCUGGUGACUGUAAAUAUGGUGAAGUAGCUUAUGUUGAGACCACGCAAUUUGCUCAAGACAUCAUCUCCUUUGCAAAACAUUACACGACUAUGAAAAAGGUCAAGAAUGAAGGUGUAUUUAUAUUAAUUAACACUUCAUAGACAACAGGUCCAGUGCUUACUGUUUCACAGACAUGAAAAUGAAUUUAUUAGUAGCUGGCCUUGGAUUGUUACGAUAUAGCACUGUGGUGCCAAUAGAUAAAAAAUUCUUACUAAAUAAAUAUGUAAUCAAAUGAAGUAUGUUGCUUGUA